UCUACACUACAAGUUGUAAGAUAUAGGCAACAGUAUAUAGGUAACAACACACGGUGUGUGGAUUUAAUGCUCCUGAGAGUGAAGAGCCAUUUAUUACAAUAAGAAGAGGAAGAGAACGUCCUCGCGACUCUGUAGCUACCAUGCUCUUUACACACGCACGUGUUGAGGAUUGAUACAAUCGUACAGUUAUUUAUACCGGGAUUGAACUUUCUGGCAUUCUAGCUUCGGUUUGCGUUUUGCUGAACCAAAACCCGGUGUAAAGUGUUUAGCUAGAGUUGGAAACCUUCCACAUUUAAGCGCGCCGCAACCAUGACUUCACCGGUAAUUAACCGAGCCAAAUGGCUGAUUUUCCUGCCGUGCAUCAUUUUCCAUGGCUGUGCCGGUUCUGCUCCUCUACAGGAGAUGGACAGAAACUGCCGUUGCUUUCUUCCUUGUGACGGAUCACCUGAGCUAAAGAAACAUGACAGCGUCCGAGUUCUUGUGCAACAUCUUUCAGAUGAUCGUGAAGUAAUACGUAAUGUGUCCAGUUUGUAUGAUGGAGGGCGCUGUUCAGUGCCAGGCUGUUUCCAGAGGAGCAUGCAUUACAGACUGCAAAUGUACGCUAAUGACAAAGACCCAGUGCCUAAAAUACUGCUCAAUAAAACAGAUUUACAGCCUGGUAAGGACACAAACCAUCUAACCCAUGCUUAAAGAACUAGUUCACCCAAAACGGUUUAUUGUGUUCUAAUGUUUUCUUCUGAAAAACAUGAAGUUUUGAAAUCAUGCAAUCCAGUUUAGAUUAAAAACUGCUCAUGCAUGCAGCCUUUUGUUUGUAUUAUGAUUAAAAUACAGUGGUUGCAUCUCAUUUUAAAUGGAAAGAGCACAGACAAAGCCUUAGUUUGUUUAAAUGAAGAGAUUUCUUUGUUAUUCGGUUGAUUUGGGGUUUGUUUAAAAUUUUCUAUUUAGUUUUCUUAUUUGAGAUAUUUUAAUUUCACAAAGAACUGUGCAGGAUUUUGUCUCAGAAAUAAUAUAACGACACCUUUUCAUUUCUAAUUUGUCUUAAAUCUCAUUUUGUUAAAAAAAUGUUUUUUAAAAAAUUGCAAAUUGCAUAGUGAAAUCAGUAUCGUGAACUGUAUCGCAUCAUGAGUUGAGUGAAUUGUUCCAUCUCUAGUGAAUGUAUCGUUUGAGGGAACUGCACUUUAUUUUAAAAAUGAUUCUUUGUUCUUAAUAUUCUUUAUGGUUUAUGUUUAAAAAGUAAAUCCAUGUACAUACUGAAUACACUACGGUUUGGCUCACUCUCUCUAAUUUUCCACAGAAUGUGAUCCAGAGGCAAUAUCAGACAAAAGUAAGUAAAUAUCCACUAAAUGCCUCAUAAUUUUGUAUCAAUUAAAAAGUGUUUUCUACCUACAUUUAAAACGCAAGGUAUUUUAUAUUUUCAGAUGACAGACAGUGACUAUACUUUACAUGCACACUCAUUAUGCACAGCAAUAUUGCAAUUAAACACAAUACUUCAAUUUAAUUGAUGUGAUUAAACUCAUAAUCAUAGCAACCAUAAUUGCAUUGAUAUUUGUAAUAUAAUAAUUAAUAAAUACAUAAUAAAUAAUUGUAAAAUAUAUGGC
ensembl:lncRNA